AUUGAACGCUGGCGGAAUGCUUUACACAUGCAAGUCGAACGGUAGAGGGGGCAACCCCUCGAGAGUGGCGAACGGGUGAGUAAUAUAUCGGAACGUGCCCAGUCGUGGGGGAUAACGUAGCGAAAGUUACGCUAAUACCGCAUACGAUCUAAGGAUGAAAGCGGGGGAUCGCAAGACCUCGCGCGAUUGGAGCGGCCGAUAUCAGAUUAGGUAGUUGGCGGGGUAAAGGCUCACCAAGCCAACGAUCUGUAGCUGGUCUGAGAGGACGACCAGCCACACUGGAACUGAGACACGGUCCAGACUCCUACGGGAGGCAGCAGUGGGGAAUUUCGGACAAUGGACGCAAGUCUGAUCCAGCCAUUCCGCGUGCAGGAUGAAGGCCCUCGGGUUGUAAACUGCUUUUGUACGGAACGAAAAGGUCUCUCUUAAUACGGGGGGCUCAUGACGGUACCGUAAGAAUAAGCACCGGCUAACUACGUGCCAGCCGCCGCCGUAA
rnacentral:rRNA from 1 species